rnacentral:rRNA from 1 species
UACGAAGGGGGCAAGCGUUGUCCGGAAUCAUUGGGCGUAAAGCGCGCGUAGGCGGCCCGGUAAGUCCGCUGUAAAAGUCCAGGGCUCAACCCUGGAAAGCCGGUGGAUACUGUCGGGCUAGAGUCCGGAAGAGGCGAGUGGAAUUCCUGGUGUAGCGGUGGAAUGCGCAGAUAUCAUCAGGAACACCGGUGGCGAAGGCGGCUUUCUGGGUCUUACCUGACGCUGAGGAACGAAAGCCAGGGGAGCGAACGGG